UACGUAGGCAGCGAGCGUUGUUCGGAAUUACUGGGCGUAAAGAGUGUGUAGGCGGUGUUCCCAGUCUGUUGUGAAAUCUCCCGGCUUAACUGGGAGGGUGCAGCGGAAACUACAGGGCUAGAGUCCUGGAGAGGAAGGUGGAAUGCUUGGUGUAGAGGUGAAAUUCGUAGAUAUCAAGCGGAACACCGGUGGCGAAGGCGGCCUUCUGGACAGUGACUGACGCUGAGACGCGAAAGCGUGGGGAGCAAACAGG
rnacentral:rRNA from 1 species